rnacentral:misc_RNA from 1 species
AUAUAGUCAAUCCCAACUAGUUUGCGAUUAAGGCUUGCUUGUUGUAGUAGCUGUUGGUAUUGAACAUGGAUCUGGGCACUUGUAUCCAACGAUCUGUUGAUCCAGAUUUUGUUCUUGAUAUAAGUCCAUAUUUAUUGUUGUUUUCUUGAAAAUGCAUCUGAAAAUAACUAGAAGCGAACAAAAAUUAUGUGAAGAUUAUAUUCAUUACUAUCUCACCUGGAACAUAUUGAAAGGUACAUUAAUAAGGAUGAAUCUUACCUUUUUUUUGCUGGUAUUGUUUAGCUAGGAGUAUUGAGGAUCAUGCCAAAAUGCAUGCUGCAUGCAUCCCAUUUUUGUCUUUCUGGUUUUCAUAAUUGAUUUAAUA